GCGAGCGUUGUCCGGAAUCACUGGGCGUAAAGGGCGCGUAGGCGGCUUUUUAAGCGUGCGGUGAAAGCCCGGGGCUCAACCCCGGGUCGGCCGUGCGAACUGGAAAGCUCGAGCCCACUAGAGGCAGGCGGAAUUCCGGGUGUAGCGGUGGAAUGCGUAGAGAUCCGGAAGAACACCGGUGGCGAAGGCGGCCUGCUGGGGUGGAGCUGACGCUGAGGCGCGACAGCGUGGGGAGCAAACAGG
rnacentral:rRNA from 1 species